AGCAGCCGCGGUAAUUCCAGCUCCAAUAGCGUAUAUUAAAGUUGUUGCAGUUAAAAAGCUCGUAGUUGAAUUUCGGGGUUAGUAGGUUGGUCAUGCCUCUGGUAUGUACUGGUCUCACUGAUUCCUCCUUCCUGAUGAACCUUAAUGCCAUUAAUUUGGUGUUUUGGGGAAUUUGGACUGUUACUUUGAAAAAAUUAGAGUGUUUAAAGCAAGCUAACGCUUGAAUACAUUAGCAUGGAAUAAUGAAAUAGGACGUUUGAUCCUAUUUUGUUGGUUUCUAGGAUUGACGUAAUGAUUAAUAGGGAUAGUUGGGGGCAUUAGUAUUCAAUUGUCAGAGGUGAAAUUCUUGGAUUUAUUGAAGACUAACUACUGCGAAAGCAUUUGCCAAGGAUGUUUUCAUUAAUCAAGAACGAAAGUUAGGGGAUCGAAGACGAUCAGAUACCGUCGUAGUCUUAACCAUAAACUAUGCCGACUAGGGAUCGGAUGAUGUUAAUUUUUAAUGACUCAUUCGGCGCCUUAC
rnacentral:rRNA from 1 species